rnacentral:tRNA from 1 species
GGCUUCAGCUGAAUGGUAGAGCCUCGGUUUUUCAUGCAGAAGGUUCCUGGUUCAAGCCCCGGCAUCUCCA